rnacentral:ribozyme from 1 species
AUCCUUUCUAGUUCUGUAAAAGGGUUGGAUCCGACGCCCCUAGAAGGCUACUAUAGGCUCUCCUUCCCAACUCCUACUCAAUACGUCCACGUCGUGCAGAACGGUAACUUGUCGCC